GGAGAAGUGUUAAGUCUUUAAUUUUGAAUCCUUAGCUUACUUUGUAAGUUAAGGCUAGAUUUAAACAAAAAUUAAAGAUUAAAUUAGUAUUGAAUGAAACUUUGUUUAUAUAUCGAUAAUGACGAUAUAUAUAUUAUGUCUUGACCAAUUACGUGCCAGCAGUCGCGGUAAUACGUAAGAGACUAGUGUUAUUCAUCUUAAUUAGGUUUAAAGGGUACUCAAACGGUCUGCUUCGCAUAAAAAGACUAGAGUUAUAUAGAAGAAGGUAGUACCUUAAGUGUAGAGAUUAUAUUUGGUCAUACUCGAGGGACUUAGAAAAGGCGUAGGCAACCUUCUAAGCAAUAACUGACGUUGAAGGACGAAGGCAUAGGUCACGAACAGGAUUAGAUACCCAAGUAGUCUUUGCAGUCAAUGAUGAAUGCCAUAGGUUAGAUAAAAAUUUAGUCUAUAAAUGAAAGUGUAAGCAUUUCACCUCAAGAGUAAUGUGGCAACGCAGGAACUGAAAUCACUAGACCGUUUCUGACACCAGUAGUGAAGUAUGUUGUUUAAUUCGAUAAUCCACGAAAAACCUUACCACAAUUUGUAUAUUUUACAGGAGUUGCACGGCUGUCUGCAGUUGAUGUUGUGAAACUGUGGUUUCCAUGAAUUAACACAAUCCCUUGCUUUAUUUUUGUAAAUUACUAUAAAGCAUUUGACCCAAGAAUAUGGGAAGAAAAAAGGGAGUAAGACAAGUCAUCAUGGCCUUAAUAUUGUGGGCUAUAGACGUGCCACAUAAGCCUAU
rnacentral:rRNA from 1 species